AAUGUUUCUUUGAACUGUUUUGGUGUCCUGGUUUCUCUUCAGAGUGAUACAUCCUGUCAGUCUGUCCCAUCUUCGCCGAUGUAGUUCCUUCACUUCCGGGACACAUCAGCCUCCACGGUCUGUUUUCAUGCCGAUGUUUGCGGUGGUUCCCCCGCAGACUUCUCCACUCCGAGCCCGGUGAAGUGUCUGCCUCUCACUUCCACCCGAACCAGAAUCCAGAGCUCGGUGCCGGUCCGGUCCAGACUGUGACGGGGCUAGCUGAGAGGCUAGCGGAGCGUUAGCCGAGCAGACAGCGGGCAGAGGCAGCAGCAUGGCCGGGGGCAGCCACAGCCAGCCGCCCGAGGACAAGGCAGCCAGCCGGGGUCAGAGCGACGUCAACAGGAAGUUGAAGUACAUCAGUUUGGCGGUCCUGGUAGUCCAGAAUGCGUCGCUCAUCCUCAGCAUCCGAUACGUCCGCACGUUGCCGGGCGACCGCUUCUUCACGACGUCAGCCGUCGUCAUGGCAGAGAUCCUGAAGGUGCUGACGUGUCUGCUCAUCAUCCUGCUGCAGAAGAGAUUCAGUGUGAAGGACACCGUCGUCUUCCUCGUGGACGCCGUGGUCUUCCAGUACAAAGACACUCUGAAGCUCGCCGUCCCGUCGCUCAUCUACACUCUGCAGAACAACCUGCAGUACGUGGCCAUCUCCAACCUGCCGGCCGCCACCUUCCAGGUGACGUACCAGCUGAAGAUUCUGACCACGGCUCUGUUCAGCGUGUUGAUGUUGAGGAAGUCUCUGUCCAGAGUCCAGUGGGUCUCUCUGCUGCUGCUGUUCGCCGGCGUCGCCAUCGUACAGGUGCAGCAGGAGGGGAAGAAGGAGGCGUCCGUGUCGGACAGCUCCAAUCAGAACUACACGGUGGGUCUGGUUGCCGUGGUGAUCAGCUGCCUGUCGUCGGGCUUCGCCGGCGUUUACUUCGAGAAGAUCCUGAAGGGAAGCUCCGCCUCCGUCUGGGUGAGGAACGUGCAGCUGGGGAUCUUUGGCACAGCGCUCGGCAUGCUGGGAAUGUGGUGGAACGACGGCGCCGCCAUCGCCGAGCGCGGCUUCCUGUUCGGCUACACGGACAUGGUGUGGUGCGUCAUCUUCAACCAGGCGUUCGGCGGGCUGCUGGUCGCCGUGGUGGUGAAGUACGCCGACAACAUCCUGAAAGGCUUCGCCACCUCCUUCUCCAUCAUCGUCUCCACGGUGAUGUCCAUCUACCUGUUCGGUUUCCACGUCGACCUGCUCUUCACGGCGGGGGCGGGGCUCGUCAUCGGCGCCGUCUACAUGUACAGCCUUCCAAAAGCGGCCGGCGGCGCCGCGUCCCCGAGCUCCUCCACGUCUUCCUCGGCGUCUUCGGCGCCACCCCGGACGGACGGAGGCGCCAAGAUGGAGGCGUUUCUCCCAAAGUCAGUGCUGGUGAAGUGACUUCCUGUUUCUCUCUCUCUCUCUGGUGUCUCCUGGUGCUCACUUCCUGUCUGCUCAUGGCGAGGUCAAAGGUCACGCCGCUGCUCGCUCUCUGCAGAGCUCGCUCGCCCGAGGGUCGACCUCCUCUGCUGUUGACUCCUCCUCUCAUUUCCUCCUAACUCCUCCCACCUCACCCGGACUCCUGCCCUAUUGACCCCGCACUGACUCCUCCCCUCGCACUGACUCCUCCCCUCACACUGACUCCUCCCCUCUCCUCCCGCUGAGCUCCGCCUCCUGAAGACGGCGUCUCCUGAUGUUUUCAAACUUCUCUCUGCUCCUCCUCACAGACCUCGUGUCACCUCCUCCUGUGAUGGAGAGGAGGAGGGAGGAGCUCGCUAACAGACAGACUCCUGCUGCUCCUCCUCCUCCUCCUCUUCUUCUGCUGCUUCCUGCUCCUCUGCUCUAACUCUGCUUCUCCUGCUCGAGGAGGUGAGGAAGGUGGCAGCGCUCCUGACGUCUGCUGCUCCUCCCUUCUGUGAAGAGGUGCUGUGACUCCUCAUCACAGAGGAGCAGGAGGAGCAGGAGGAGCAGGAGCAGUCUGUCUGCUUCCUGUCUGUGGUGUCGCCUUCUGCCUUAAACUCUCACUGACUGAAGACGAGCGCUGCGUUUCUGUUUUCACGAGUCGGCGCCUGAUCAGAACCUGAAGUAUCGAUUAUCGAUCCAGACAUCAGAACCAGGACCGGUCCGGUCCGGUCACAGCUCGAGGUGACGACCUUCAUCAGGUCACAGCUUCGUUAAGAAGCUUCGUGAUGACGUCUCGGUCCUGCUCGGCCUCCGGUGUUCUGGCGGGUCAGUGACAGGAAGUAGAGACAGGAAGUGAUCGUCGAGCUGCACGGUGGAGCGAGCGCGGCUGCAGCUUCCUGUUGGCGGCCAUGUUGGCGUGCUCGUGCCUUCUCGCCGUGCAGACGCCGCGCGGCUGUCGUGUUGGCGCUCAGCUGUGCAGCUGUGUGUUCUGGUCUGAGGGACUCAAACGGCGCGUGGGGCGGGGCGGGGCGGGGCGGGGCGGGGCUUGCUCGUUGAUUGGAGCACCUUUAAUUAACGAGCGGUGAUAAUUAAAAUGCGUCUGCGGCGGCGUCAUGAAUGUUUCCUGUCACCGCGUUGGUUCGUCGGUCAGUUGCCUGACUGAAUGUUUCUGUUUGACUUCACAAGGAAAGUUUCAGGAGGAAAGUUUCUGUUUUUGUCUUCAGAUCGCUGCACGAGGAGACGAGCGGCUCGCCGUGUUAAGACGACCUCAUCAUCAGCUGAUCAAAUAUCUGUUUGUUUUUAUUUGAUGAUUUUUUCAUUCAGUUUCCUCGUGGUCGAGGCGGCGACACUUUCUUUGGUUUCUGAAUAAUUAAUAAAUGAAUUAAUAUAUGAGUUUUAUUUAAUGUGGGAUGAAGAGGAGGAGGAGGAGGCUCAGCAGGUCGCUUCAGCCAAUCAGAGCUGCCGUUCAGUGUCCAGGUGGAAAUAUUCUUUUGUAAGUUACCAUGGCGACGAUGACGAAGAGUUCAUCGCGUCAUUAUCUCAGUUUAACGAGACAAAAUUAUCUUUUCUCAGAAAAUUAUAAAAACAUUCAAAGUUUUCUGAACAUAAAAAAAUAAUUAUCUCGUUAUUUUGACAAGAUUGACGAGAUAAUUUCAUCGUCACUUUGUUUCCUGAUGAGUCGCCUUAACGAGACGAAACUUGAUUUCAGGUCAGAAUCAUCAGGAUUUAUUCAAAUGUUUGUUUUUGUCUCGUUAUCUCUGGAUAAUUAUUUUAUUAUUAACAGAUUAUUGGCCUGAAAAACAUUUUUUUUAAAACGCAGACGCUCUCGACUCUGAUUCAAAAUGUUUUUUUGUUUCAUUCAUCAAAAAGAGGCUGAUGUUCAUUUUAAAACAAAACAUUUCUGAUUUCUCCACAUUAACUCCGCCUGGAGCGCCACCUGCUGGAAGUUUAAAGAACAAUCCUGUAAAAGUCUUGAAGGACUUGCUGGAUCCUGGAGUCCAUCAGGAUCCUUGAGAAAUGUUCCAGGAUUGUUUAAACUUCCUCAUCCUGUCUGGACGUUUGUUUUUGGUUGCUGUUUGGUUUGUACUGUACGAUGCCUGUAAAUACUUCUUUUGGUAAACUUUUCUAUAAACACGGACAUGGACUGAAAACCUCUGGAGUCUGUCUUAAUUUGAAAA